rnacentral:rRNA from 1 species
GAUGAACGCUGGCGGCGUGCCUAAUACAUGCAAGUCGAGCGCACGGACGAGAAGCUUGCUUCUCUGAUGUUAGCGGCGGACGGGUGAGUAACACGUGGAUAACCUACCUAUAAGACUGGGAUAACUUCGGGAAACCGUAGCUAAUACCGGAUAAUAUUUUGAACCGCAUGGUUCAAAAGUGAAAGACGGUCUUGCUGUCACUAUAGAUGGAUCCGCGCUGCAUUAGCUAGUUGGUAAGGUAACGGCUUACCAAGGCAACGAUGCAUAGCCGACCUGAGAGGGUGAUCGGCCACCCUGGAACUGAGACACGGUCCAGACUCCUACGGGAGGCAGCAGUAGGGAAUCUUCCGCAAUGGGCGAAAGCCUGACGGAGCAACGCCGCGUGAGUGAUGAAGGUCUUCGGAUCGUAAAACUCUGUUAUUAGGGAAGAACAUAUGUGUAAGUAACUGUGCACAUCUUGACGGUACCUAAUCAGAAAGCCACGGCUAACUACGUG